rnacentral:rRNA from 1 species
CAAUAGCGUAUAUUAAAGUUGUUGCGGUAAAAAAGCUCGUAGUUGGAUUUCUACCGAAGAUAGCCGGUCGGGUCUUCGACCUUGUAUCUGGUUUUGUCUUUGGUAUCCUCACAGGGAACGCUUCUGCGCUUUAUUGCGUGGUGCGGUAUCUAUGACUUUUACUUUGAGGAAAUUAGAGUGUUCACGGCAGGCAAACGCCUUGAAUAUAUUAGCAUGGAAUAAUAACAUAGGAUCUUCGUCCUAUUUUGUUGGUUUCUAGGGCUAAGAUAAUGAUUAAUAGGGAUAAUUGGGGGCAUCUGUAUCAACGCGUCAGAGGUGGAGUUCUUGGAUUGCGUUGCGACAAACUACUGCGAAAGCAUUUGCCAAGGAUGUUUUCAUUGA